GUCAUCUUCUGACUGAGGAGGAAUUUGGGGUUUGGUUCCAGUGCAUGAAGCUGCACAGUCAGAAUAAAAGAUGAGGGCCUAGCAGAUUAGCAAAGACUAGGAGAAGACUCUAUCUUGUGGCCAGCUUCAGAGAACCUGGGGCCAUAGCUCCCUGGUCAACAUUAGGCCUGCUGCAUGGGGACCCUGGGCAGGCAGUGGGAAGCCUGAGGUGUGGCUCCUGGUAGCCUCACAGCUGCCACUAUUUUCUGAAGCUCCUCCUACUUGUUUUGUCAGACGGGCCCCUAUUCCAGCAGGCCAGCAACACCCUCAAGACCAAGAACAGGCCAUGGUGAAUCUCAGGGCCAUUGAGUGCCUGGGCUGGCAGGGGCAGAGUGCCUCAGGGCUCAGUGACAUUUGGCCUGAGUGUUGGCUUUGGGAGUCAGACAGCUGCACUGGGCUCCCAGCUUCACCAUGACCAGUAAUGUGUCUGGGGCCGGGGCCUCACUGCUCUAAAACUUGAGACACCAUAGUGAUAAAUUUUACACACCCUUCUAACUGCUUUUUCUUUUUUAUCUGUCUUUCUCUAUAAUCACCAUGUACUACUGAUCUCUGUUUAUUUAAAUUAAUAAGCAUGUUAUACAGUGUGUAUUAUUCUUCCUCGUGAUUUCUUUACUACAUUGUAUGAUUCCACUCAUAUGAGGUACUUACAGUAGUUCCAUUCAUAGAAACUCAAAGUAGAAGAGUAGUUCCUAGAGGCCAAAAGGAAGGUAACGGGAACAGAGUUUGAGUUUUGCAAAAUGAACAAAUUUCCCUAUGAAUGUGGAUGAUGGUUGUAGAACAAUGUGAGUAUGAUUAAUUCCUCUGUCCUGCACUUUUAAAAAUUGUUAAAAUGGUUAAUUUUAUGUAUAUUUUACCACAAUGUAAAAAAGGACUUUUUUAAAUGAACAAACUGUAGAUAUCUGUAACAGCAUAAAUAUCACAAAUAUAAUAUUGCAUUAAAAAUUGAUGUAAAAGUAUCCAUACUGUGUAAUUUUUUAUAUUACACUCAAAAAUCAAAACUGAGGUUCUGGCUUCCACUAAUGAUGAAGUAGCUAACUGAACUAACACUCUCACACAGAAAAAUGAUGAAUCCUGGGUAAAUUAUUAUAUAUCAUUAUAGAAACAUUUCUAUAUACAAUACAUACAUGAAAUAUGUGUAUAUAAAAACUGAAUGCAUAUUUUGGCUAUGACUUCCAUAGGAGAGAUAAGUAUUGAAGAUAGAAUCCAGCCCAUUUAACACCAUCUUUUAAAAACAACACUCUUCACAGGGACAAAACAGAAUCCAGUCUUUUUAAUCCAGUCUUGUAUACAGUCUCCAGGGCACAAUUUCCAAUUCAAGAGAUGCGUGAAGACACGUGAAAAUGUAAUAAAUACACAAGAUAAAAAGCAGGCAGUAGCCAUCUCCAAGAUGUCCAAGAUGUAAACGGCAGACAAGAAUUUGAAGGCAGCUAUUAUAAACACGCUCAUGAGGGCAAAGGAAAAUAUUCUCAUAAAUGAAUAGAUGUGAAACAUCAGCAGAGAAAAAAUAGCCAUAUAAAAAAUGAGAAAUAAAAAUAGUAAUUUUGAGCUUUUCUAUAGUUCAGAAACAGAGACAUAGCAAUAUAAUUUAUCCAAUCUGAGGAGAGGAAAAAAAAAAGUUUAAAGAAAAUGAACAGAGCCUUACAGACCUGUGGGAUGACUGAGUCUGAGAAAAGGUGAGAGAUAGAAAAAAUCAAAUGGAGUAUAAAAGUAAAUCAACAAAAUUUAAAGAAAAUAAACACAGCCUUAGAGACCCAUGGAAUUAUUGAGCCUGAGGAGAGGAGAGAGACAGAAGAAUUAGAUGGGUUGCAAAAAUAAAUCAAUAACUAACAGCUGCAAACUUGCAAAAAUUGUUCAAAAACCUAUUUUUUUUUUUAAUCUAAAGAUCCACGAAUCCCCCACAAAAGUACAAAUAAAACCAUACCAAGGCCAUAUUGUGAUUUAGGAAAGCAGCAGGCAGGACUUUCAAUUGACUUGAUAUGAUUUAUCAUUUUUACUAUUUGUAAGAAUGGAAAUAAGUUCUUAGAGUUUUUGUCUUGGAGAAAGUCUGACGUUAAGGACAAACGACAGUUAUUAAAGGCAGAUGACUUUCCAGACUUGUCUUAAAUGUUCCAUUCUUUACCUUAGAACUUAUUUAAAUUUGUUUCUUCCAAAUACUGCAGUAAUAUUGAUGCUCCAGAGAGAUGUCCCACGGAGAUUCUGCUCUUGUGCGUCUGCCCUGCACGGAGCUGAGGCAGUGUCUAUCAGUUUCAGAAGCGAGUAGUCGUGCAGUACUUAACCUGAAAAACUUAAUGGAAACAUGAAUUAAGAGAAUGAUCACUGUUUAGUUCUAUCAGAAAACUAUUAAAAGUGGUCCAAGGGGGUAUUUAAAAAGAGAUAUUAUUUUCCAAGGGAGCCCUAUUCAGGGUAGAAGCGCAGACACUAUCCCUGACCUCACCACACAAACUACCCUCAUGUGUUGGGAGGGACCAAGGGGCGCUCUGGUCCUGCUGACCUGCAUUAAUCACGGCCCGGAGGUCCACACUAAGACCCUGAGGCCUGGGAAGCAGCCUGGGUGGGGUCAGAGAAGCGGUGGAUGAGGCUCCCACAGCAGCUUCCAGGGUCCCAUCCCCGUAGCUGUUUCCUUAGUGGAUGCAGCAGGGUCAGGCCCUUCCGCUGUGACGUUUUCUCCUCUUUAUUACACUGGUGGGAAAGUCUCCGUGAGAGGCCCGACCUAGAUAUGGACCACGCAGCGAGCCCGGGGGUCCAAGCGGCACUCCUGGGGUGCAGAGAAUUUGUGACAGCCUAGAGAACAGAGGAAAUGGUUUUGAAAAGGCAAAUGGCAGGUGACUAGGGACACGAUGUUUUCACUUCUGGCAGUCAAGUGACAGUUUCAGACACUCAUGAACGGGCUUCUCGAGGGGAUCCCAAGGAGCCUGAGACCUGCCAGGUCGGCCGCCAUUACCCUACACCUAGGGACGGGCUGCACUGCGCAUUUCCGAAAGGGCAGGCCCCUUAGCCCCACCCCUAGGAAUGGGUGCACUGCGCAUGUGUGAAAGGGCAGGACUUUUAUCCCGCCGCUAGGGACGGGCUACACUACCCAUGUCUGAACGGGUGUGACAAGAGGGAGGAGCGAGAAGGGACGGGGCGGAGCGGGAGAUGGGCAAGAAUAGGGGCGCGGUGCGGCCAACGUCCGGCGGAGGAUCGUUACCACGGCAACGCUGCUGUGGAGGCCAUGAAAGGCGAACGGCCCUUUGUUGGCUGACAGGAAAUCGAGACACUCGUGAGGGGGCUUCUUGAGGCGAUCCCAAGAGGCCUGAGAACUGCCACAUCCGCGGCCCUUAACCCAGCCCUAGGGACGGGCCGCACUGCGCAUGUCUGAAAGGGAGUGACAAGAGGAGGAGCGAAGGAGGGUGGGGCUGAGGAGGAGGCGGGGUGAGAAAAGGGGCGGGCCGCGCCCCACCCUUGUCUGAGGAGCGUUACCUUGACAACCCUGCCGCGGAGGCAGUGAGAGGCCACCGACCCUUUGUUGAUCUGCAAGGUAUCAAACUUCGAACAUGACAAGCAUAAAAGCCUGCAGCUCGAGGAGACAGGGUGUCACAAUUACCAGGUGAAACUAGCCGCCCUAGCUCCAAUGUCUCUUCAGCAGGAGAGAUUUGGAAACAGCAAGGCUCCUCUCCGCAGGGCGAAACUGCUGGGCUGCGAAAGGCGGGACAGGGAGCGGAACCGUCUUCAACCGUUCCGGGAGUUCUGGUGUCUGGUCCGCUCCCGGCUGUUGGUCGCAGGGCAGAGGGUCUAGGAUGCCAGCUGGCUGCGGGCUGGGAGAUGCAGGUGCCUGAACCAUAAGGCACAAGGAAUGAGCCCCUCAUCGUGAGAGUGCAUGUGACAGGAG
rnacentral:lncRNA from 1 species